UGAGGAAUAUUGGGCAAUGCCCGCAAGGGUGACCCAGCAACGCCGCGUGGAGGAUGAAUGUCGUAAGAUUGUAAACUCCUGUUAGAGGGGAAGAAUAGUACCGGUUGGACCGGUAUAUGACUGUACCCUCAGGGAAAGCCUCGGCUAACUACGUGCCAGCAGCCGCGGUAAUACGUAGGGGGCACGCGUUGUCCGGAUUUACUGGGUGCAAAGGGCGCGCAGGCGGGAUAAAAAGUCAGUGGUGAAAUCCUACAGCUUAACUGUAGAACUGCCCUUGAUACUUUUAUUCUUGAGUUCGGGAGAGAGAGACGGAAUUCCAGGUGUAGUGGUGAAAUACGUAGAUAUCUGGAAGAACACCAGUUGCGAAGGCGGUCUCUUGGUCCGACACUGACGCUGAGGCGCGAAAGCGUGGGGAGCAAACA
rnacentral:rRNA from 1 species